UAUUAAACUUUUCAUCUUUUUUUAAUGCUAAAAACUGAUAUAACUGACGGAAUAACCAUGUAUGUUACACGUGCCGCGUCACUUGUAUUUCAUUUUGAUGUAUAUGGACCAGUUUUUUAAAAGUAAAAAUAGAUGAAAGUUUUAGUA
rfam:Gossypium raimondii Chr08_contig_719, whole genome shotgun sequence.